AAUGGGAUAGCUGGGUCAAAUGGUGGUUUCAUUCCAGGUUUUUCAAGGAAUCUCCAUACUGCUCUCCAGAGUGGCUGUACCAAUUUUCAGUCCCACCAGCAAU
rnacentral:pre_miRNA from 1 species